rnacentral:rRNA from 1 species
GACGAACGCUGGCGGCGUGCUUAACACAUGCAAGUCGAACGGAAAGGCCCUGCUUUUGUGGGGUGCUCGAGUGGCGAACGGGUGAGUAACACGUGAGUAACCUGCCCUUUACUUUGGGAUAACUUCAGGAAACUGGGGCUAAUACCGGAUAGGAGCUCCUGCUGCAUGGUGGGGGUUGGAAAGUUUCGGCGGUUGGGGAUGGAUUCGCGGCUUAUCAGCUUGUUGGUGGGGUAGUGGCUUACCAAGGCUUUGACGGGUAGCCGGCCUGAGAGGGUGACCGGCCACAUUGGGACUGAGAUACGGCCCAGACUCCUACGGGAGGCAGCAGUGGGGAAUAUUGCACAAUGGGCGGAAGCCUGAUGCAGCAACGCCGCGUGCGGGAUGACGGCCUUCGGGUUGUAAACCGCUUUCGCCUGUGACGAAGCGUGAGUGACGGUAAUGGGUAAAGAAGCACCGGCUAACUACGUG